rnacentral:lncRNA from 1 species
UUUUCUUUAAUUACUUUUACUUAUGUCAUUUACUUUUUGUUUUCAUUAAGUUAUUCUUUUAAUGGGGUAUGUGUACACCUCUUGGCUUGUAAUAGAUAGGGCGUAGCAAGUAAUUUGGUCCAUUUUCCCUUUCCCUUUUGUGUUAGUUAGCAAAUGUAAUGGUUGCAUGCCUAUGUGUUAUAUGUUAAAUGCUUUAUUAGGAUUUCGCAUCUAGUCAAGCAUGCUAAGUGUUAUGUGCUACGUGUUUAUAAGUGAUUCGCAUGUCUACUCGCUUUUUGUAGUAUAGAUGAAUGGAAUGGAUGAAUGUACGUCACCACACUAGUCCAACGCUAGUUGUGGCUUCUUUUAUCGUUUCCACUAGUCCAACGCUAGUCGGAAUUCAUAGGAUGGGCUAGUCCAAUGCUAGACCCAAUAGGUUUUUUCCUUUUUUUCAUUUAAGUGCAUGAUCACCACAUAUCAUGCAUUUUUCAUUAGUUUUAUCAUUUGGUAUGUUCCUCAAACCCCUUCCCCUUCACUUUAGGACUUGCAUCUCAUGCUAGUUAGGGUUCAUCUGCGUGAAAAUCCCCUCUUGAUAAGGGAAACGAGCGAGUGUGGCUACUCGAUAGCCUUAGCACGCUAGUUUUACCUUCUAAUCCGAGGGAAAAUCAAAGUCGAAAAUUAGGCGUCACCCCCGUACCUGACUUGUUGCAUUCCCCUAGGGUCAUACUUUCAUUUUUAUCACUUCCAUACUCUUUUAAUCACAUUUCUCUUACACUUCUCAAUCCAUAUUUUUCACUACAUCUUUAUCAUUUAUUUACUUUACUUCACAAAUGAAAUUCAAGUUCCACUUAUAUAUGUACUAUUCUAUCUUCAUUCAUUUGCACACACAAACACUUUGAUUUUCAUCCAAAUUCACACAUGCACCUUUUUAUACAUUCGCACACUUGCACUUACAUUUCUUGCAUCUUUCAUAC